rnacentral:rRNA from 1 species
CCUACGUGCGUCUGCAGUGGGGAAUAUUGGGCAAUGGGCGCAAGCCUGACCCAGCAACGCCGCGUGAAGGAAGAAGGCUUUCUGGUUGUAAACUUCUUUUAAUAGGGAAGAUCAGCAGACGGUACCUCUUGCAUCCUCCACGGCUAACUACUUGCCAUCCGCCUCUGUCAUACGUAGGUGGCAAGCGUUGUCCGGAUUUCCUGGGUGUAAAGGGCGUGCAGCCGGGAAGACAAGUCAGAUGUGAAAUCCCGCGGCUCAACCGCGGAACUGCCUUUGAAACUGUUUUUCUUGAGUACCGGAGAGGUCAUCGGAAUUCCUUGCGUAGCGGUGAAAUGCGUAGAUAUAAGGAAGAACACCAGUGGCGAAGGCGGAUGACUGGACGGCAACUGACGGUGAGGCGCGAAAGCGUGGGGAGCAAACAGGAUUAGAUACCCCUGUAGUC